CCUACGGGAGGCUGCAGUGAGGAAUCUUGGUCAAUGGCCGAGAGGCUGAACCAGCCAAGUCGCGUGAGGGAAUAAUGUCCUAUGGAUUGUAAACCUCUUUUGUCAGGGAGCAAAUUCACCCACGUGUGGGUGUUGGAGAGUACCUGAAGAAAUAGCAUCGGCUAACUCCGUGCCAGCAGCCGCGGUAAUACGGAGGAUGCGAGCGUUAUCGGGAUUUAUUGGGUUUAAAGGGGGAGUAGGCGGGUUAUCAAGUCCGCGGUAAAAUCGUGGAGCUCAACUCCAUCCAGCCGUUGAGACUGAGAAUCUUGAGUGGGCGAGAGGGAUGCGGAAUGCGUGGGGUAGCGGUGAAAUGCAUAGAUAUCAAGAAGAAC
rnacentral:rRNA from 1 species